CCUACGGGAGGCAGCAGUGAGGAAUAUUGGUCAAUGGACGAGAGUCUGAACCAGCCAAGUAGCGUGAAGGAUGAAUGCCCUAUGGGUUGUAAACUUCUUUUAUAAAGGAAUAAAACGAGGCACGUGUGCCUAUUUGCAUGUACUUUAUGAAUAAGGAUCGGCUAACUCCGUGCCAGCAGCCGCGGUAAUACGGAGGAUCCGAGCGUUAUCCGGAUUUGUUGGGGUUAAAGGGAGCGAAGAUGGGUUGUUAAGUCAGUUGUGAAAGUUUGCGGCUCAACCGUAAAAUUGCAAUUGAUACUGGCAGUCUUGAGUACAGUUGAGGUAGGCGGAAUUCGUGGUGUAGCGGUGAAAUGCUUAGAUAUCACGAAGAACCCCGAUUGCGAAGGCAGCUUACUAAACUGUGACUGACAUUGAUGCUCGAAAGUGUGGGUAUCAAACAGGAUUAGAUACCCCGGUAGUC
rnacentral:rRNA from 1 species